rnacentral:misc_RNA from 1 species
AGCAGCCGCGGUAAUUCCAGCUCCAAUAGCGUAUAUUAAAGUUGUUGCAGUUAAAAAGCUCGUAGUUGAAUUUCGGGAUCAGUUGGUCGGUCGUGCCUCGGUACGUACUGGUCAAAUUGAUUCCUACCUUCUGACGAACCACGAUGUCAUUAAUUUGGUGUCGCGGGAAAUCAGGACUGUUACUUUGAAAAAAUUAGAGUGUUUAAAGCAGGCUCGCGCUUGAAUACAUUAGCAUGGAAUAAUGAAAUAGGACGUUUGAUUCUAUUUUGUUGGUUUCUAGGAUCGACGUAAUGAUUAAUAGGGAUAGUUGGGGGCAUUAGUAUUCAAUUGUCAGAGGUGAAAUUCUUGGAUUUAUUGAAGACUAACUACUGCGAAAGCAUUUUGCCAAGGAUGUUUUCAUUAAUCAAGAACGAAAGUUAGGGGAUCGAAGACGAUCAGAUACCGUCGUAGUCUUAACCAUAAACUAUGCCGACUGGGGGAUCGGAUGAUGUUAAUUUUUUAAUGACUCAUUCGGCGCCUU